ACUCCUACGGGAGGCAGCAGUGGGGAAUAUUGCACAAUGGGCGCAAGCCUGAUGCAGCCAUGCCGCGUGUGUGAAGAAGGCCUUCGGGUUGUAAAGCACUUUCAGUCGUGAGGAAGGUGAAGUGUUAAGUUAAUAGCCGCAUUAUUUGACGUUAGCGACAGAAGAAGCACCGGCUAACUCCGUGCCAGCAGCCGCGGUAAUACGGAGGGUGCGAGCGUUAAUCGGAAUUACUGGGCGUAAAGCGCAUGCAGGUGGUUUGUUAAGUCAGAUGUGAAAGCCCGGGGCUCAACCUCGGAAUUGCAUUUGAAACUGGCAGACUAGAGUACUGUAGAGGGGGGUAGAAUUUCAGGUGUAGCGGUGAAAUGCGUAGAGAUCUGAAGGAAUACCGGUGGCGAAGGCGGCCCCCUGGACAGAUACUGACACUCAGAUGCGAAAGCGUGGGAGCAAACAGGAUUAGAUACCCUGGUAGGUGA
rnacentral:rRNA from 1 species